CAAACGGGGACUAUAUUCUCUCUGACAAUCUUUACGUGGAGUCGAAAGUAAAAGUUUUCAUUCUUGCAAUCACACGGUGUUUCUGCAAGACCCCCGCGGCGCACGGAGGCAAUACGCUGAAGCUUCCAGAAACUCUGCAAUCCUUUUAAAAUAACAAACUCCAAUAAAUUCAGAGAAAACCCUAAUCUUUCUUUUCUUUUGUUUUAUCUUGUUCUACACAAGAAGGAGAGUAUACAGAGUGAUGGGAAUUAUAAGGAGUAGCUUCUCAUUCAUAUCUGGAACAAUAUUUGGAAUUUACAUAGCCAAAAUUAUAAUGUUCCCAACAUCAAGAAGGUUGUAAAUGUGGCCCUUUUUUCUGCAAAAAAAAAAGUUGAAGAAAAAUACCGCAAGCCCAAGAAAUCUGGAGACGACACCGUCUGAGUAUUACCCUCGGCAUUUCGAUGAUUACAGGUGUUCCCUCACUCAAUUCCUCCUCUUCUUUCUUUUUCUUUCUUUUCCCCCUUGUGGGUAAACCUUUUGGACUUAAUUGUAAUUCGAUUCAAUGAUCGCCAGAAGAAUCGACUUAGAAUUUCUGUAUUUUUUUUAUUUUUUUUGUAAUCUUGAUAUAUAAGUAAUUAAUUAAAGGAAAGUUGUUUCGAUGGAAAAUUAUUUAGAAAUUCAAAGUGGUUUACCUGGUUUAUGUUAAUAUGGAUGGACUAAGAGAUCCUGG
rnacentral:lncRNA from 1 species